rnacentral:rRNA from 1 species
UACGGGAGGCAGCAGUGGGGAAUAUUGGACAAUGGGCGCAAGCCUGAUCCGGCAAUGCCGCGUGAGUGAUGAAGGCCUUCGGGUUGUAAAGCUCUUUCGCACGCGACGAUGAUGACGGUAGCGUGAGAAGAAGCCCCGGCUAACUUCGUGCCAGCAGCCGCGGUAAUACGAAGGGGGCUAGCGUUGUUCGGAAUUACUGGGCGUAAAGGGCGCGUAGGCGGUACUUCAAGUCAGGCGUGAAAGCCCCGGGCUCAACCUGGGAACCGCGCUUGAGACUGGAGAACUAGAGUUCGGGAGAGGAUGGUGGAAUUCCCAGUGUAGAGGUGAAAUUCGUAGAUAUUGGGAAGAACACCGAUGGCGAAGGCAGCCAUCUGGACCGACACUGACGCUGAGGCGCGAAAGC